GAAUAUCUCCUCUUAUCCAUCUUUUUAACUAAGGAUUGGAUCAAGAGGGUGCUUGGGCUUGCAUUGGAGAUUUUAUCUGUAAAUGCUUGCCUUAAAUGCAUUAGCUGGACUUCAGUAGAGUUGUUAAGUAACAUUGAAAACUCUUGUGAUCGAAGUCUGCUUCUAGUCCAUCUCGAGCAAUCGAGAGUUCAUUUUCAA
rnacentral:misc_RNA from 1 species